rnacentral:rRNA from 1 species
GAGUUUGAUCCUGGCUCAGAUUGAACGCUGGCGGCAGGCCUAACACAUGCAAGUCGAGYRGAUGAGAGGAGCUUGCUCCUUAAUUCAGCGGCGGACGGGUGAGUAAUGCCUAGGAAUCUGCCUGGUAGUGGGGGACAACGUUUCGAAAGGAACGCUAAUACSGCAUACGUCCUACGGGAGAAAGCAGGGGACCUUCGGSCCUUGCGCUAUCAGRUGAGCSUAGGUCGGAUYAGCUASUUGGWGAGGUAAUGGCUCACCAAGGCGMCGAUCCGUWAC